UAAUACGUAGGGGGCAAGCGUUGUCCGGAAUUAUUGGGCGUAAAGCGCGCGCAGGCGGCUGUUUAAGUCUGAUGUUUAAGCCCGGGGCUCAACCCCGGUUCGCAUUGGAAACUGGACGGCUUGAGUGCAGGAGAGGAAAGCGGAAUUCCACGUGUAGCGGUGAAAUGCGUAGAGAUGUGGAGGAACACCAGUGGCGAAGGCGGCUUUCUGGCCUGUAACUGACGCUGAGGCGCGAAAGCGUGGGGAGCAAACAGGAUUAGAUACCCUGGUAGUCCACGCCGUAAACGAUGAGUGCUAGGUGUUGGGGGUUUCGAUACCCUCGGUGCCGAAGUAAACACAGUAAGCACUCCGCCUGGGGAGUACGCUCGCAAGAGUGAAACUCAAAUGAAUUGACGG
rnacentral:rRNA from 1 species